rnacentral:rRNA from 1 species
GCGGUAUUUUGACCGUGCAAAGGUAGCGUAAUCAUUUGUCUUUUAAAUGAAGACCCGUAUGAAAGGCAUCACGAGAGUUUAACUGUCUCUAUUUUCUAAUCAAUGAAAUUGAUCUAUUCGUGCAGAAGCGAAUAUAAUAACAUUAGACGAGAAGACCCUAUGGAGCUUCAAACACUUAAAUUAAUUAUGUAAUUACUUACCUCCCAGGAUAUAAACAAAAUAUAUAACUUCUAAUUUAACUGUUUUUGGUUGGGGUGACCAAGGAGAAAAACAAAUCCUCCCCAUCGAUUGAGUACUAAGUACUUAAAAAUUAGAAUGACAAUUCUAACCAAUAAAACAUUUAUCGAAAAAUGACCCAGGCUUACCUGAUCAAUGAACCAAGUUACCCUAGGGAUAACAGCGCAAUCCUUUCUCAGAGUCCCUAUCGAAGAAAGGGUUUACGACCUCGAUGUUGGAUCAGGACUCCUAAUGGUGCAACCGCUAU